rnacentral:rRNA from 1 species
UACGGGGGGGGGCAAGCGUUGUUCGGAAUUACUGGGCGUAAAGGGCUCGUAGGCGGCCAACUAAGUCAGACGUGAAAUCCCCUCGGCUUAAACCCGGGGGAACUGCAUCCUGAUACUGGAUGGGCUUGGAGUUCGGGGAGAGGGAUGCGGAAUUCCCAGGUGGUAGCGGUGAAAUGCGUAGAUAUCUGGAGGAACACCGGUGGCGAAGGCGGCAUCCUCGGACCGACGACGUGACGCUGAGGAGCGAAGCCAGGGGAGCAA